ACUCUUACGGGAGGCAGCAGUGGGGAAUAUUACACAAUGGGCGAAAGCCUGAUCUAGCAAUGCCGCAUGAAUGAUGAAGGUCUUAGGAUCGUACAAAUUCUUUUAUAGGGGAAGAUAAUGACGUACCCUAGAUAAGAAGCCCCGGCUAACUUCGUGCCAGC
rnacentral:rRNA from 1 species